GUGGGUAGUUUGACUGGGGCGGUCUCCUCCUAAAGAGUAACGGAGGAGCACGAAGGUUGGCUAAUCCUGGUCGGACAUCAGGAGGUUAGUGCAAUGGCAUAAGCCAGCUUGACUGCGAGCGUGACGGCGCGAGCAGGUGCGAAAGCAGGUCAUAGUGAUCCGGUGGUUCUGAAUGGAAGGGCCAUCGCUCAACGGAUAAAAGGUACUCCGGGGAUAACAGGCUGAUACCGCCCAAGAGUUCAUAUCGACGGCGGUGUUUGGCACCUCGAUGUCGGCUCAUCACAUCCUGGGGCUGAAGUAGGUCCCAAGGGUAUGGCUGUUCG
rnacentral:rRNA from 1 species